CCCUAUUUAAAAAAUCAUUGACUUGUCAGGGCCCGCCAGAGGCCCAGAGCGCCCCCGCAGCCCGCAGCCAGAGCUGCCGAGAUGUCUGUUCUUCCCGCCCACUCCUGCCACCCCCAACUCCCCUCCUACUCCCUUCCGUUGAGAACAAGGAAUUUCCAGCCUGUAGCAAAGGGAAAGAGGCAAAGACAAAGACGGAGACCAUGGGAAACUAUAGAAAAACAUAAAGAGACAGUUAUUUGUGUCUUUGCCUCUGAGUUUUAGAUCAUACUAAGGAUGUUGGACUUCAUCCUGUGGUGUUACUGGAACCAUAAAGACUCUGGAAACAAAGACUCAUGGCAUGGUCAGAUCUGCACUUAGGAGCAGAGUGGAGGAAGGAUUUAUGGCUGCAAAAACAGUAGGAAGGUCAGCUUGAAAAAUACUGAAGGACCCUCUCAGUUGAAAGAUGGCAAGGCACUGGCAUGGGGGGAAAGAACAGAUUCAAAAUAUAGAAAAUAAGAUCGACAGGACUUGAUUGAUUGGCUGAGGGGUUGAGAGGAGAGAAUGAGGGUUUAGGGUGACUCUCAGGCUCCUAGCUUGGGUGACUGAGUAUGUGGAAUGGAGUGUUCCUUCUCAAAACUCUGGAAUAGCCUUCAUCAAAUAUUCGUGGCCUGCAAAUCCUUUAUCCACAAUUCCUAAAUUUAAAAAAAUUAUGAAAACCAAAAGCUUGACCGGGUACUGUGGUUUAUGCCCUUAAUCUCAGCACUUUGGGAGGCUGAGGUGGGUGGAUCACCUGAGGUCAGGAGUCCAAGACAAGCCGGCCAACAUAGCGAAACCCCGUCUCUACUAAAAAUACAAAAAUUACCUGGGCGUGGUGGCGCAUGCCUGUAAUCCCAGCUACUCGGGAGGUGGAGGCACGAGAAUCGCUUGAACCUGGGAAGCAGAAGUUGCAGUGAGCCGAGAUCGCGCCAUCGCACUCCAGCCUGGGUGACAGAGUGAGACUCGGUCUCAAAACAAAACAAAACAAAACAAAACAGAAGAAAACAAAAAUUAACUGGGCGUGGUGGCGGGCGCCUGUAAUCCCAGCUACUCGGGAGGUGGAGGCAUGAGAA
rnacentral:lncRNA from 10 species